rnacentral:ribozyme from 15 species
AAGAAGACGAAGAAACGGAGAAAGGGUUCCGGCUCUGAACUCUGAGCUCUUGUUUGUAUUUGUUUAUUUGUUUAUUUGUUUGUUUGUUUGCUUUGUUU